rnacentral:rRNA from 1 species
CAGCCGCCGCGGGAAUACGUAGGUGGCGAGCGUUGUCCGGAUUUAUUGGGCGUAAAGGGAGUGUAGGCGGUCUUUUAAGUCUGAUGUGAAAGCCCACGGCUCAACCGUGGAGGGUCAUUGGAAACUGGGAGACUUGAGUGCAGAAGAGGAGAGCGGAAUUCCAUGUGUAGCGGUGAAAUGCGUAGAUAUAUGGAGGAACACCAGUGGCGAAGGCGGCUCUCUGGUCUGUAACUGACGCUGAGGCUCGAAAGCGUGGGGAGCAAACAGGAUUAGAUACCCCCGUAGUCCCUGUCUCUUAUAC